rnacentral:rRNA from 1 species
CCGCGUGCCUUGUCAUGCGAUCUCGAGCGGACGAUUCACAAGCUUGCUUUUGGAUCGUUAGCGGCGGACGGGUGAGUAACACGUGGGCAACCUGCCCUGUAGACGGGGAUAACACCGAGAAAUCGGUGCUAAUACCGGAUAACACGAAAGGUCGCAUGGUCUUUCGUUGAAAGACGGCGCAAGCUGUCGCUACAGGAUGGGCCCGCGGCGCAUUAGCUAGUUGGUGAGGUAACGGCUCACCAAGGCGACGAUGCGUAGCCGACCUGAGAGGGUGAUCGGCCACACUGGGACUGAGACACGGCCCAGACUCCUACGGGAGGCAGCAGUAGGGAAUCUUCCGCAAUGGACGAAAGUCUGACGGAGCAACGCCGCGUGAGCGAAGAAGGCCUUCGGGUCGUAAAGCUCUGUUGUUAGGGAAGAACAAGUACCGCAGUCACUGGCGGUACCUUGACGGUACCUAACGAGGAAACCUCUGUNUAACUACGUGCCCAUCACCGCGG